rnacentral:tRNA from 1 species
UCGCGAGGGUUUCUUCAACGUCUUCGUUCCCCUCGUUGACGUCAC